GGAAAGGUGCAGGAGUGGUUGAACUGGCAGCAUUGGAAAUGCUGUGUGCCCUUUUGGGUACCGUGGGUUCGAAUCCCACCCUUUCCGCCA
rnacentral:tRNA from 1 species